rnacentral:rRNA from 1 species
AAUGAACGUUGGCGGCGUGGAUUAGGCAUGCAAGUCGAGCGUACCCAGCAAUGGGGAAGCGGCAAACGGGGUAGUAAUGCGUCGGUACGUGCCUCCUGGACGGGGAUAGCCGGCCGAAAGGCCGGGUAAUACCCGAUGACAUCGCGAGAUCAAAGGUGUGAUUCCGCCGGGAGAGCGGCUGACGUGGUAUUAGGUAGUUGGUAAGGUAAUGGCUUACCAAGCCUGGGAUGCCUAGGGGGUGUGAGAGCAUGGCCCCCACCAUUGGGACUGAGACACUGCCCAGACACCUACGGGUGGCUGCAGUCGAGAAUCUUCGGCAAUGGGCGCAAGCCUGACCGAGCGACGCCGCGUGCGGGAUGAAGGCCUUCGGGUUGUAAACCGCUGUCAGGGGGGAUGAAAUCACGGUGGGUUCUCCCAUCGUGUUGACAGAGCCCCAGAGGAAGCGCGGGCUAAGUUCGUGCCAGCCGCCGCAGUAAGAC